ACACGACUACAUUAGAUACCCCUGUAGUCCUAGCCGUAAACGAUACUCGCUAGGUGUCGGCCACGGUGCGACCGUUGUCGGUGCCGUAGGGAAGCCGUGAAGCGAGCCACCUGGGAAGUACGGCCGCAAGGCUGAAACUUAAAGGAAUUGGCGGGGGAGCACCACAACGGGUGGAGCUUGCGGUUUAAUUGGAUUCAACGCCGGAAAUCUUAUCGGGACCGACAGCAACAUGAAGGCCAGGCUGAAGACUUUUGCCGGAUUAGCUG
rnacentral:rRNA from 1 species